AGAGUUUGAUCAUGGCUCAGAUUGAACGCUGGCGGCAUGCCUUACACACGCAAGUCGAACGGUAACAGGUCUUCGGAUGCUGACGAGUGGCGAACGGGUGAGUAAUACAUCGGAACGUGCCCGAUCGUGGGGGAUAACGAGGCGAAAGCUUUGCUAAUACCGCAUACGAUCUACGGAUGAAAGCGGGGGAUCUUCGGACCUCGCGCGGACGGAGCGGCCGAUGGCAGAUUAGGUAGUUGGUGGGAUAAAAGCUUACCAAGCCGACGAUCUGUAGCUGGUCUGAGAGGAUGAUCAGCCACACUGGGACUGAGACACGGCCCAGACUCCUACGGGAGGCAGCAGUGGGGAAUUUUGGACAAUGGGCGAAAGCCUGAUCCAGCCAUGCCGCGUGCAGGAUGAAGGCCUUCGGGUUGUAAACUGCUUUUGUACGGAACGAAAAGCCUCUUUCUAAUAAAGAGGGGUCAUGACGGUACCGUAAGAAUAAGCACCGGCUAACUACGUGCCAGCAGCCGCGGUAAUACGUAGGGUGCAAGCGUUAAUCGGAAUUACUGGGCGUAAAGCGUGCGCAGGCGGUUUUGUAAGACAGAGGUGAAAUCCCCGGGCUCAACCUGGGAACUGCCUUUGUGACUGCAAGGCUGGAGUGCGGCAGAGGGGGAUGGAAUUCCGCGUGUAGCAGUGAAAUGCGUAGAUAUGCGGAGGAACACCGAUGGCGAAGGCAAUCCCCUGGGCCUGCACUGACGCUCAUGCACGAAAGCGUGGGGAGCAAACAGGAUUAGAUACCCCGGUAGUCCAA
rnacentral:rRNA from 1 species